rnacentral:rRNA from 1 species
GACGAACGCUGGCGGCGCGCUUAACACAUGCAAGUCGAACGGAAAGGCCUGCUUUCCCUUGUGGAUUGCGGGUACUCGAGUGGCGAACGGGUGAGUAACACGUGAGUGAUCUGCCCCCAACUUGGGUAUAAGCCUGGGAAACUGGGUCUAAUUCCCGAUAGGACUGCAGGGUGGUGCCUGUGGUGGAAAACGAUUUUCUAGUGGUUGGGGAUGAGCUCGCGGCCUAUCGGCUUGUUGGUGGGGUAAUGGCCUACCAAGGCGGCGACGGGUAGCCGGCCUGAGAGGGUGGACGGCCACAUUGGGACUGAGAUACGGCCCAGACUCCUACGGGAGGCAGCAGUGGGGAAUAUUGCACAAUGGGCGGAAGCCUGAUGCAGCGACGCCGCGUGGGGGAUGACGGCCUUCGGGUUGUAAACUCCUUUCGACCGCGAGGAAGCCACCUGGUUGGAAGGGUGGUGACGGUAGUGGUAGAAGAAGCACCGGCUAACUACGUG